UCUAUUAUGGCAGAUUAGUGCAAUGGUCUUAAGAUCCAUUUAUAAAGAUUUAAUCUUUUUUUAGAA
rnacentral:tRNA from 2 species